GUUGCAUUUACAACUGUGAUGUUCCGAAGCACGACUAACAGAGGACACAAAAGCGAUGAAUGAUAUUUAUUACAGAAAACUAAAUUUAUGUCAUUUAUCCCUACAUGAAUAUCCACUGGAACUUUUCUGGGAUAAAAGAAUCUACAUAAAAAGAAAAGAUAAUGGCCAGUGACACUUCCAAAAUUAAACUUAAAUACUUAAGAAACCGAACUGCCUUAGGAAGAAUGUAUGUUUCGCGCUUGUUCUCUGUCCAGUUUUCGACGUACUAAAAACUUAAGAUGCUCAUUCUUCUGGGUCAUAUUCCUGAAAUUCGAAGACGAAAAUUCAAAAUCAAAAUUAGGAAGAGCACCCACUAGAUGGAUGGACAUGAUGAUGGCCUGACUGAUGACGCAUCAGGCUUUACGGCACAAGAUCGUAUUGUAUGGAAGGCCUUCGUCAAGAGAGCCACAGCUACUGGUGGUCAUGACCCACAGCAAUGAAAAUAUGAUGAUGAAAACUGAUCAUUCUCAUCACUAAAUGCAACCAAUAAAUCAUUGUCUGAUCGCUUAAUAAUCAUAAAUGAUGAUAUAAUUAUGCUAUCAGAUCCAUUUGGAAAAAAUAAAAGAUACCAUUCUAAAUCGAUCUAAAGAAAGUAAAAAGUCUCAGUAGUUCUAUUCUCAUUAAGUUGGAGAAACUGAGAACGCACGCAAGAAAUGUGCCUAUUAGUUCUAUCCUGAACUGAAUCGAAUGAGAAUCAAAGUUGU